CGCCCACCUUACUGCUGCAUAGACCCGCUGUGUACCCCGAUCCCGGCCAGUCCUCUAGCCCCUCUUCCCAGCACUCAGGACGGCGGAUUUCAGAUGACCAAAGACCACCUUGUGACAACAGCGUCGGAACCACGGCACUUCCGCCUGCGGCCGGUGGGACUACAAAUCCCAACAGCCCCGCGUAAGUCUCGCCCCACUACCACCUCCUCCCAACACGACUCCCAGAACCCUCCGCGAGACGCCAGGGCCUCGAAAUAGAACAAAACCGGCCGGUGGGGGAGGGGGAAGGUGAGGGUCUCGGAGGAUACCGGGGGUUAGAGAGCUGUCUGCAGACGCCGAAGACCCAAGCAAGCCUGCCGCCUACCUCUCCGCGCCCCACAACUGCUAGGCGCGGAGAGCGCGGCCUGUUCCCCGCGCCUCCCGGGAAGCUGAGGAAGGUCCCGGGAGGGCUUCCCCGCCGGCUCCUGCUAAGAGGUCCGCAGACCCUAGCCCGGUGUCCCCCUCCCUCUCAUAACGUUCCCCGCACACCGGCGCAAACCUCUGGCUCAGGAACCGCAACAGCUUCGCUGUCCACGGCAGACGCAGAAACGCCGUUCACAAGCCUUUUCCCAGAAGCCCCCGGCACGGGCUGCUUCCGGUCUGCGGGCCUGAGGAGGCGGGGAGAGAGAUGAGGUCUUCCUAUGUUUCCCAGACUGCUCUCCAACUCCUGGGCACAAGUGACCCUCCUGCCUUGACCUCCUAAAUUGCUAGGAUUGCAGGCGUGAGCCACUGUACCUGGCCUCCAUUCUAUUCCUAAUUCCUUCUAAAAUACUACAUGGAAACCACAGUGAGGUUUUCCUCACUAAGUUACUCUUUUGAAGGCAGACGCUAAUAACGCCUGCUUUGAAACACCAUCCUUCUGAGGUUCUCUGGGAUUUUUUCUGAAUGGUGGCCCUUGUUGCCAUCUUAAAGAUCUAGUCAAGAUAAAACAUCAUGUUCCUCUGGACAACCUGAAUGGAGGGAGCAGCUUCAUACCAGGGCCUGACAAUCUUGCACAUAUCCACAUAGACCAUAUAGGCAAUGCCUGAACCACAGCUGAUCUGAGUCUUGGCAGAACACCUUGGUAUCCUCCCAGAAGAUGAGCGCAAUGAGAGACUUGUAAGCAGCUACUGCAAGGCCAUUUCCCACUCAGCUCUCUGUCUUCCAAACAGACUGUCAUGAGGCAGUUUCUCAUUGCUUCCCGGGUUCCAGUGAGCCAUUCUGCCUUAGCCACUUAGAGUACAGCCACAGGUUAUAACAAGGCUUAGCUGCAGCAUGGCAUUGACCCCUCAGCAGCAAGGUGUCCACAAUGUAUGCUGUAGUCAUCCAGCCCCUUCUGCUUUGGUGUCAUCAUUUUGGUAUCUGAGACAAAAGCUCAUGGAGAACUGGCACUUGCUUUUGCUUUCAAUGUCUGUGUAAAUAAUAAUAUGUCUAAAUUCAAAAAGGGCUCAUUUCUUUACCAGCUAAAUCUUUCAAUCUUGUCUUGAUACCAAACAUCUGAUUCAUUAAUUAAUGGUAAAACAAACAAAACUACCAGACAGAUACUACCUGGGUACCAGAAAUACAGAGAUUAAUAAAAUGAAGUCAUGAUUCCUUCUUCGUUUUUCCCUUUAAAAGAGAUGGGGUCUCACUCUGUUGCUCAGGCUGGAGUGCAGUGGUGUAAUCACAGCUUGCUGCAGCCUCAAACUCCUGGUAGGGAUCCUCCCGCCUCAGCCUCCUAAAACGCUGGGAUUACAGGUGUGAGCCACCAUGUCCAGCUUGAUUCCUUCUUUUAACAUUACCAUCUCUUAUUAAGGAAAUAAACAGCAACAACAAAAAAAAACAAGUAUUCACAAGGCAGUGUAGAGUGCUACUGGAGAAGAACAGAAUGCCUGUAAGGGCUCCUAAAUGAGAUGGUGUGCUGAGAGGGAAGGGAGGCACCCUGAAAUGGAGGAAGCCAGCAAGAAGUUUUCAGGCUGGGCAUGGUGGCCUGCACCUUUGGUCCCAGCUACUCAGGAGACUGAGUUGGGAGGAUUGCUUGAACCUGAGGGGUUGAGGAUGCAGUGAGCUGUGAUCGCAUCACUGUACUUAAGCCUUGUGGACAGAGCAAGAUCCUUAUCAAAAAGGAAAAAAAAAAAAAAAAAGUGUUCACAUUGGAAGGAAGGCAUAGACCUUCAGAUUUGGUGUUAUCAGAUUCCAUCCAAGACUGAUUUUUUUCCAGGCUUUGGAGCUCUCAAUCCCCUUCAGCUCAAAAGUAUCUCCCUCUGGGCGCUUUCAGUACAUUGCUUAAAGAUUCCAUUUUAGCUAGUAAGUAUACAGUAUGAGGAGUCUUUUGAUUGCAAAACCUAACAGGCAAGCAUUGUUAGCUUCCUACACAAAGUGCUUCCCCUUACUUCUAAUACACUCCUGAUUUUUUGGAUGGAGAGCUGGGAGUGUGCCCAGCUGUAAGAAUAAAUUGUAAUUGAGCUAAGCUAUCCAUGACCAUUCUGCUUCCCUGUGCCAGAUACUGCUUUGCCUUGCCGGCAGCGAGGAAUGAGUAUGUGAUUCAUUUCUGGUCCAUGAGAUAUAAGGGGAAAUAGUUUGUAUCUUUGAAGAAAUUUAUCUAAUUCAUUUAAGUUGUCAGAUUUAUUGGCAUAAAGUUCACAAUUAUUUCCUUAAUAUCUUUUAAUGUCUAAUAAUACUAAAUAGUUCCUUAAUAUCUUUUUAAUGUUUGUAGAGAUGUCCCCUCUUUCAUUCCUGACAUUGCUAAUUUCUGGUUUCUUUUUUCUUAAUCAAGACUUCAAGUUUUGCGCGAGGCUUAUCAAUUUUAUUAAUUUUUCAAAGAAUCAACUUUUGGCUUUAUUUGUUUCAUUAUUCUCUAUGGAGUUCUUCUCUUUUAAUAAAAUUAACUGACAGCAAAAUAUGGCACUUUUGGCGGGGGGCAGAUAUUUCUGAGUUUUAGAUUUGUGAAAUGACCACCAAAAUCAUGAUACAGAAUAGUUCAUUAUUCUGUAAAACUCCAUCAAGUUGUACUCACGCCUUUGCCACAUCCCUAAUUCAUGGCAACCAUAGAUUUGUCAUCUGUCACAAUAGUAUUGACUUGUCCAGAAUGUAAUAAAAAUGGAAUCAUAAGGUAUGUAAUCUCUUAAGGCUCGUUUCUUUCAUUCAUCAUAAUGCCUUUGAGAUUCAUCUAUGUUGCCAUACGUAUCAAUAGUUGAUUCCAGUGUAUUUUUCACUUCAAAAAUUUCUAUUCGUUUCCUCUUUAUAUCUUCCAUUUCUUUCCUGAUAUAUAUCCUUCCAUUCAUUCACCCUUACUUUCAAAGCAUGGUUAUAAAACUUGCCUUAAAGUUUUUUCUGUGAAUCCUAACAUCUGUAUCAUCUAGGUGUUGGCAUCACUUGAUUUUUUUUUCUCUUGCAACUUGAGAUAUUCCUGGUUCUUUCUGUGCCUAGUAAUUUUGCAUUGUAUCCUGCACAUUUUCAAUAUUAUGCUGUCAGAUCCUGGGUAUUUAAGUCGUAAGGAGAAUGUUGAUGUUUUUGUUUAACAGGUAAAUGCCCUAAUUAGGGUCAGAUUGCGAGUUCUGAUCUGCACUGUGUGGGCUGCAGUUUCAAUGUCAGUUCAGGUUUCAAACAUUUCCAGUUCAAUUUGGGUCUUUGUGUGUGCCACCCAGUGGCCAAUCUGGGGCCUAAGCGGUAGUCUAUCUUGUAGCUCAGUUCUCAAUGCUUGUGAUGUGCCAGUUAGGGUCAGCUCCACACAUGUGAAGUUUAGAGGUGAGCAGACGGGCUCUUACAAAACUUUAGGGGAUCUCAUUUGAUCUCCAUCCUCUUUGCAAUAACUUUAUCACUUUCCUGGCUCCCUGGGGCCUCUCUUACCAGUUUUUCAGCUAGAAAGCUGAGAUUUUAGUUUCCUGGUUUAGUUCUGCUGUUUACUUCUCCCAACUGCAUUCUGAAUCCUGGUCCAAGCAGCCAGAGGACACAGAGAAAAUAAAAGCAAUGGGGAUUUGCUCCAUGCUUCUGGGACUAAAGCAGCUCUGUUCAGAACAAAGUAUUCCUCUCCCUCUGAGUUUAAAGUGCCUUCCCACAGCCUGGGUGACACAGUGAGGCCCUGUCUCUAAAAUAAAUAGAUAAUUAAAUAAAUUAAUUUAAUUAAAUGCCUUCUCAAAGACUACUGCCAUUGCAGUGCUGCUGACGCGAAUGCUACUGUCAUAGUAUUCCUUGAAGACUGGGGUAGAAGAGAAGGGAAAUAAAGCAAAAAAUACUGUAUAUGGGAUUUCCCCAUUCUCUCUGACCCUUAGAACCCCCCUUUCCCACUCCAAACUUUAUUAGGGCAGGGAUUUUUUUUUUUUUUUUAAAGCAGCUUCAUUUUUGUUUCUUCCAAUACUUUUGUUUUUCAUUGUGAUAAAAUAUAUGUAACAUAAAAAUUGAUCAUUUUAACCAUUUUAAGUGUACAAUUCCUUAGGCCAGAAACAGAAUUCUUAUCUUGGAACUUUCUCUUCAUUCUCGGUGUGCACUUCUGGGUUUCAAGCUGCCUUUGAGUCUAAGAAAAAGAGAUGCCAAGUGGAGAAGAUAGUGAAUUCAGUGCUAGUUUAGUAGAUUUCAAAUUCUGUCCUCCUUCCCCAAUCUGCUUGCUGUCAUUUACUUUGAAGAGUCCUCAGAUUUUGUCCAAACUUUCCAAUUAGUGUGAGAGAUGGGGUCAGGAGGAGUGUGCUUACUCUAUCCUCCCUGGAGUCAGAGCCUCUGUUCUUGUUUUUCUCAUUCUAUGCCCCCUCCUACUUACUUGGCUUAAGUUGCUUUUUUGUUUUUUUCCCCUCUUUAUUAAUGUGGAUGAUUAGAUAAUUGACUUUAAAUAUUUAUUCUCUUCUAAUAAAGCUAUUUAAAGGAAUGGUACAUCAGGGCUUCAGUCUUGCUUUCCUGUAGUUUUCUAUUUUUUCCCUUCACAUUUAUCUGCUUAAAAUCCUGCAGUUUUCAUAGCUCUUUCCUCCACAUGUAUCAGCUUCAUCUUCCAGCUGAUGCAGCAUUUCCUAGCAUUGUAACCAGUCACAGUAACAUGUGGGAAUAGGACAAUAUCAUCUGUCUCUUUUUUUUAGAAGAAAGCAAGCUUUUCCCAGAAGUCAUGGGGCAGGCUUCUCCUGAUGUCUCAUUGGCCUGGAUUGGGUGAAAUACUCAU